GCCGGAGUGGCGGAAUGGCAGACGCGCUGGACUCAAAAUCCAGUCUUGGCAACAAGGUGCCGGUUCAAGUCCGGCCUCCGGUA
rnacentral:tRNA from 1 species